CAUAUUUUUUCACGCAAUAGAUAAAUUGGACAAAAUAUAGUUACUCAACGAAUCUUAACUGAAGUGAAUUCUCAAUAGUUUUAUUAGACCAAAGGCGGAUUUUUUGGAAUGUGAAGACUUGCAUUUUAAAAAUUUUAUAUGAUUUGAAUUAAAUACCGAAGAGAGGCGCAUUUUUAAAGACUUAAACUUUGUUUCUGCGUCACAAAUUUUUACAUCUUUCACCUUCAACUUCUCCUUUCAUUCCUUUAUUUCUGCUUCAUAGACUCCAAGUUGGAUUUGUAUGUUGCUAUUUAUUUCCUUUAGUUGUUUUACCUCAGGAGAAAUAUCUGUAAUACAACAUACAAUUAUUAUUUUCUAACGAUAAAGUAAAUAAUAAUAAAAAAAAAAUCAUUAUAAGAAGUUUCAUCUUCUAUUGUUUAUGAAAUUAGAUUAAUGUUUACUAUGUGUAUUUCUUUGUUUCGGCAGUAGGAGGUUCCAAAUAAGUAGUAAAGAUCAACAUUGUUCUCUCGAAUAAAAAUACGUUUGUUGGAGUUUUUGGUGAGCCUAGGAACUUAAGGUUUUAAGAUGUUUAAACAAUGUUGGAAUGGCUUGAGAGUUGAAAUUCCUUAUUUUUUUUUCAAAAUGUUUGGAGCACAAUCGAGAAUUAUAUCAUGGUUUCUAAAGAUUUUAUUCCAUUUUAAGGACCCAUUGCCUUCCAAGGAAUUUGUCCAUUGGAAAUGAGAAAAGUGUCAUCCCCUCAGCUCAAGAACGAUUCCUACAAUCCACGGCACACGACAAGAGGGUAAUACUUGGGAUAUUUUAACAAAAUAUAUCGCCUUUGUAGAGUUCUUCACCUAAAAUAUAAGAUUACAUUUUGAAUGUUUUGGGCAGUGACUCAAACAACUGAAGAAGUCAACUAUCGUAAAAACGGAUAGCCCGGUGACGUAACUCUACUUAUAGGCCUCUGAUAAAGUUAUCCAAAGGUGCUAAAUCGUGUUUUUGUCAUGCUUGUGAAAUAGGAUCUUUUUUUUUACGAGAGUUUUACUUUGAAAAUUCUGAGUUUAUUCUCACUUAAGCUUAUAUGGCAGAUAUUUUCGAUGAUCUCAAUCGAUAGAUGCAGUGCGGUGGAGUCAGCAUCAUCGAAGCGGAAGAAAAUCUGGAGGCAUUUGAACAAAGCUACCUUUUAUGAAAUGACGUACAGAGAAUGAUAACUUCGCAAACUUUCCCCAUCAGGAAGAGAGUUUUAGAAAGAUCGAACACAAGGCUGUUCAAGCAAAUGCCCUGCACUUAGAAGAGCUUGCAAAGUAUCUCGACGGAUACUUCCACACCAUGGGUAAGAGAUGAUUUCACGUUUAGUGUUGCGACAGCAGAUGAAGACGAUGAAUAUCUCGAUGAAAUCAUUGAACUUCAGUAGAUACAGCUUCAAUAGCAACUCUUCAGAACAAUAACACUGUCAACAUUUUUGUGUCAGCAAAUCGUACCAUACGCUCUUAUUGCAAAUACUCAUACCAUUUAUGACAACAGAUAUUUUUCGAGGAUCGUCGAUAUAAAAAUGAAGAAUAGGAACAAACUCUUGUUUUGCAAAAGCAAUUUGAGAAUGGCACUUGCCAAGGUAAAGUCACGCAUUUCUGAACUUGUGUCUGAAAAGCAACAACAAAAGAUACUAUGAUUUGCUGCAAAUAUUCAUUGAGUUAUGCCUUUGUGUGGAAUGCAUGUUUUGUUGGUUUUGUUCCUUAUGAUUUUUGGUUGCAACUGAUGUAUGGUACAUUUUGUGUACUAAUAAAAUAUAUACCUAUGUUCUGAA
rnacentral:lncRNA from 1 species